AUUGAACGCUGGCGGCAGGCCUAACACAUGCAAGUCGAGCGAGCGGCGGACGGGUGAGUAAUGUAUGGGGAUCUGCCAGAUCGAGGGGGAUAACUACUGGAAACGGUGGCUAAUACCGCAUACCAUCCGAUGACCCCAAAUGGGAUUAGCUAGUAGGUGGGGUACAGGCUCACCUAGGCGACGAUCUCUCGCUGGUCUGAGAGGAUGAUCAGCCACACUGGAACUGAGACACGGUCCAGACUCAUACGGGAGGCAGCAGUGGGGAAUAGUGCACAAUGGGCGCAAGCCUGAUGCAGCCAUGCCGCGUGUAUGAAGAAGGCCUUAGGGUUGUAAAGUACUUUCAGCGGGGAGGCGUUACCCGCAGAAGAAGCACCGGCUAACUCCGUGCCAGCAGCCGCGGUAAUAC
rnacentral:rRNA from 1 species